rnacentral:misc_RNA from 1 species
ACUCUAGUUGGGAACUACAAGGAAAUCAGAAACCAUGGAACCACCCAGAUAUGAAAAUCUUCACCGAAACUCGAUCAUUUAUUUCUUUCAGAAGAAAUCUGUUUUGAGAUUAACAAGAUCACAAUCUUCCUGUUUGGCCUUCUCAAUGUCCGCUUCUGAUAGUUGUGCUUCGAGCUUAGGAGGGAUCAUGCACCGCACAAGAGCCCAAUUGAUUCCAUGGAAAAAAUGAUGCUGCUUAAGUUCAUUGGCUCCUUCACAGGAGCCUAAUCUGUUUUUGGCAUCCCUGUGCAGCAAACGAUACAUCAACUGCUUCGCAGGGAGGCUUACCGAAAUACUUCCAGGAAAUCUAAGGUCCUUGUGAAGAAUAUUGGCAAAUGUUUUUUGCCUAG